rnacentral:rRNA from 1 species
GACGUAGGGCGCGAGCGUUGUCCGGAUUUAUUGGGCGUAAAGAGCUCGUAGGCGGUCUGUCGCGUCGGCUGUGAAAACCCGGAGCUCAACUCCGGGCCUGCAGUCGAUACGGGCAAACUGGAGUGUUGCAGGGGAGACUGGAAUUCCUGGUGUAGCGGUGAAAUGCGCAGAUAUCAGGAGGGAACACCGGUGGCGAAAGGCGGGGUCUCUGGGGCAACAACUGACGCUGAGGAGCGAAAGCGUGGGGGAGCGAACAGGA